rnacentral:tRNA from 1 species
ACUUUGAUAGCUUAAAUGAGAGCAUAGCACUGAAGAUGCUAAGGUAACAAUUUUGUUUCAGGGUG